rnacentral:lncRNA from 1 species
AUAUGUACUCUCCCCCAUAGUUACUUGUGGUUAACAUUUCUUUCUACCUUUUUUUUUUUUUUCAAAUGAUUUAUUGGUUCAAUUUCCUUUGAUUCUUCUAAGAUUUGGAGCUCCUCCUCUUUGUGAAUAUCAUGUCAUACAAGCUCUUUGAUACCUUGGAAAACAGGGUAAUAUGCUUCAUGAAAGUGUCUGUUAUAUGCCAAAUGCAUUGGGGUAGCUGGUGCAUCAUCUUAGAAUUGUAUUGCUUUGUGCUCGGUUCGGAUUGUAAGAUUCGCAGAUCAAUCUUGCUUUUGCUGUAGAAGUUGCUACUGCAAGUAGAUCGUGAGGCCGGGCAGGUUGCCCAUCAUUCUUCCCUUGUGGUUGGAAAUCGGGCAAGGCUGAGCUCUGGCAGGGCGGGGUAAGAAAGAGCGAGAGCCACAUCAGCGGCAAUGGGCGAACAGGCCAGGGUCUUCCCAGCCCUGAGUGUGCUUCUCAAAGCUCAGCCUCGGAAUGGCCUUCUUGAAGCAGAAGCAGACAGAUCCAAGUAGCUGCAAGGGUGUGGCUAUAACUGGCGUUUAUUGUUUACAGAGCUUCCAAAAGAAGCCGGGUCAGUUUCAAGAGAGGCCAACCAGAGGAAUCAGGAUUAAAACAGUGUGGUGGUGCUGCAGGACUGAAAAGCAGCCCUUUGAACCAGCUUAAGAACAGAUAAUUGAAAAAUUAUUUAAUUAAUUGAAUUCAAUAAUCAUUGAUUUAAAGAUGUUUGCAUAUUUGUAAGAAAGAGUACGUUGACAAUGACAACUGGCUGUUGCAUUGAUUCCUCCCCAUUGUCGAAAUGCAAAAAUGUUAGCAAAACAAAAAAAAAGGAAUCAAUAUCUCAUCACUAUGUUGUACGCUGGAAACUAAUAUAAAUCAACUAGGUUUCAAUCAAUUUGGAAAAGGAAAGGAAUCUUUGAAUUGAUGAACUACAGGGAUUUUAAUGUAUGUGUCCCCUGUUGUUUCCUGGCAUGAUAAUAGGUUUGGAUUCUAAACCCAUUAAAUAUGACAGUUUCCUGAACCCUGGCAGAACCUUUAGGUCAUCUCGGAAUUAUCUUUUUAUGCAAUGGUGUUUUUGCUCUGUCCUGCCCUUAACUUAGGCUUUGUGCUGUUACAUUGUGGAGCCCCCUGCCCUCAGGCUGUUUGGCAUCCAGAGAUCAUUUACCCAGCGAGGGCCUUCCAUCUCACUGUGUCUGGCAGGAGGCCUGUUCUUCUCGUUCCACCCUCCUUUGCCCCCUUAAUAGCAGCUCCCCUAUUCUGAGCCCUCCAGAAUUCAGCAGCCCUUGGUGUCCAUCAGGUUAGAGGCAGCCUGACACUCCCGUUCUCAGUGAGCAGCUACUAGCAAUCCUUUCCACGUUAGUCACAUUGCUUUGGUCCCCUUGGUGAAUUGGGUAGGGCUCCUACUGUGCGGUGUGUUUUACAGGGAAGGGAUCUGCCAAGUGGUGGCUGGGUGGAGGGAGCUGGCCUAGGUUUAUUGGUGGUCCCACGGCCAUUGUCUGGCAAGUGGGAGGGACUCUGAAUGGUUAUUAGCUGGGGACAACCUAGAAUGUGGAAGGUCACAUGGUAAGGAAACACCAGUGAACUAUGCAUAGGGCCACAGGCUCUUUGAGUUUUUAAAAUGCUCUUAUCUAAAAUGGACAUACAAGAGUUCCCGCUGUGGUACCGUGGUUAAGGAUCAGAUUGCAGUGGCUCGGGUUGCUGCAGAGGUUCAGAUUUGAGCCCUGGCCCAGGAACUUUCAUGUGCCGCAGGUGAGGGCAUAAAAUCUUUAAAAAUUUAAAAAAUUAAAUGAAAUGUAAAUAUAAUAAUAUUUCAUAAUAAUCUCUAAAGGAAGAGAAUCUGAAGCAUGUAUAUGUAUGUAUAUACAUAUAUAUCUGAAUUACUGUGCUGUGUACCUGAAACUAACAUGAUAUUGUAAAUCAACUAUAUU